AUAAGGCAUUUUAAAAACAGGUCUACACAUUUUUUGACAUUCUUUCCUUCAAGAGAUGAGGUUUAUGGCUCUACCCAAGAUUCUGGGUCAACCUGAUGAUGCUUUUUAAUUGACGGAAACCAGCAUGUGGGAUGCUGCAUAAUUUCCUGGGCUGACAUUCUAAUCAACUGCCAUUACCAGCUGCCUCCAAUGCUGGGCACCGUCUUGGCCCGCCUCCUACUAUUCUUUCCUCGUAUUUCAGUGGUUCUCAGUUCUCAUUACUCGUUACUUCCCUUCAGCCAGUAGAACUUCUGGUGGCAUGGUGAAUUACCGUUGAGGCAAACUGUCUUGGAUUUAUGUGGAUUUGUCUCAUUUCGGCCUCAGUUUGGAGGAAUAAUCCUGCUAAAUGUAGGAUUCUGCCUCCGUGGCUUUAUUUUUUCUUUCACUUUGAUCGUAGUUUUCCAUGGAUGCCAUCGAGAAGACAGGCAUCUUCUCAAAGUGCAUGAGGACAUCUCCCAACUGAAUGCUGCUUGGUGUCUAACAAGAGUAAUUCUACUUCUAGAACUGUACCUGACACAGCUACUUAAACGAUGGGGAAGGAUUCUUCAUGAUUGGGGCUUCUGGGGUUCCCACUCCCUGCCUGCCCCACUUGGGGCUGCCCUUGCCAGAUGCCACUCCUGCUUUAGGAAUUGACCUCAGAUGGGCAGCCAGGAGCUCCAGACCCAGAGGGUGGAGGUGACCUGUUCAAGAGAAAGCUUACUCAUCUGGGACUUCAGAGUUUGCCUUCAUGUUCAAGAUGGGGCCAGGAGGGCCUUAACUUGUUUCUAGUUAUACCUUCUUCCUAUAUUAAUUUGCAAAAAGCAAGUGCUUCCUGUGAUGCCCAGGGUGUCUGUUGUGAAGCCCUCUCUAAGCUGCAGUGCAGCAAACCACACCCUUGGUUAAAGCAGUGAAAUAAAAACCAAAAAAAAAAGUAUGGAAACAUAAAAAAGCAAUUGUGACAUAAAUUACGCUGUGUCCUGAAUACUAUACAACUGUUACAAUCAAUCUAGUAAAUCUAUAUAUAGUUACAGAAAAGAUCUCAGCAUUAC
rnacentral:lncRNA from 9 species